rnacentral:rRNA from 1 species
UACGUAGGGGGCUAGCGUUGUCCGGAAUCAUUGGGCGUAAAGAGCGUGUAGGCGGCCCGGUAAGUCCGCUGUGAAAGUCGGGGGCUCAACCCUCGAAUGCCGGUGGAUACUGUCGGGCUAGAGUGCGGAAGAGGCGAGUGGAAUUCCUGGUGUAGCGGUGAAAUGCGCAGAUAUCAGGAGGAACACCGAUUGCGAAGGCAGCUCGCUGGGACGUAACUGACGCUGAGACGCGAAAGCGUGGGAGCAACAGG